rnacentral:snRNA from 1 species
AAACGACAUAAGUAACAUAACGA